UGUUUCAUUGUCUAAUACGUUCUCCUAUUUAUUUGUAUUGUAGUCCUGUUAUAUUAUGUUGUCAUUUCAAUGUUAUAUUUAACAUUGCCAUUAAAGUGCGAGGUUUGGCAUGCCACAAAACCAGGUUCAACCCACCAUUUUUUCCUUUAAAAAUGUCCUGUACCAAGUCAGGAUUAUGGCAAUUGUUAUAUUAUAGUUCGUUUCUGUGUGUGUUACAAUUUAACGUUGCGUCGUUUGUUUUCUC
rnacentral:lncRNA from 1 species